rnacentral:lncRNA from 11 species
GACAAAUACUGAAAGGAACCAAACCCUUUCCCUUCUAUGCAAUUUCCCCCUGAAUAAUCAUUUGCUUAAGCCUCUUACUUGUUGCUGAAGGCCAAAGUAUCCUCAGAGAGGUUGGAUUGGGAAAGUAGCAUAAGUUGAAAGGGUAAGACUUUCUCUUCUCACGUAGUCCUAGGUUAUUUUUUUGCUAAAUAAAAUAGUAAUUUAUGAAAAAAGAGGGCUAAUGUAACAUGCUUCACUCAUUCCUGUGUUGGGAUGAGGCAUUUCAAUUUUUUACUGAAGCCUGCAAGGAUCAAUACAAUUGUAAUAGGCACUAAGGUGCAGUUUACAACAUGCCCAGAUUGAAUCUCUUUAUACCACGGCAGAAACACACUCUGAGUGAGGAUAGAUAUGCAUGGAUGCAAUCCUAGGUACAUAGCUCUGAACAUUCAAGUUAACUAUAGUAUCAUUAAUUGUAUAUGUUCCUUUUAACUGAUGUUUAACUGAGGAUGUAUUAUGUGCCUUUAACUGACUAUGUUGUAUUGUAAUAUGCUGUUCUUCUCUGCUUUGAUCUAUGGCAGUGGUUCUCAACCCGAGGGUCCAUAGAUGUUUUGGCCAAGUCACAGAAAUCCUAACAGCUGGUAAACUGGCUGGGAUUUCUGGGAGUUGUAGGCCAAAAUACCUGGGGACCCACAGGUUGAGAACCACUUAUCUAUGGGAAGAGGUGGGUAGGAAAUAUUACUACUAUUUGUGACUACUACUAUAAAUAAUACAACAACUAUAAUUAUUUUACAACACCCUAAAACACUAGUCAGUUGAGACAUUUGUCUAAUGAUAUGCAUGUAUGAUCAAUUUAUACCUUGUCUCUCUCCAAAACUUUGACUUAGGGCAUGCUUACAAGAUAAAAAGAAAUGCUGAUUUUUCUUAUUAUGAAGUGCAGUUGAAGCAUUACAUACAGCAAGUCGCUUCUAGCAUUCCACCACCUGACAUCCGUCGGGAACUAACAACCUGUAAUGAAAGGACCAAAGUAUUGACAUCUCCAGCCAUCCUCUGUUUGGAUAUCAGCCUGCAUGCCAAUGCUUUAAAUCAAGAAAUACCUUCCCUAGAACCCGGAACCUCAAUCAGUGGCUGAUGCCAGAUGAGAAACUCCCCCCUGGGCACUCAGAAGACUGGGCGACUUGGAAGGUGCUGGACAGACUGCACUCUGACACCACGAGAUGCAGAGCUAACCUUAAGAAAUGGGGCUACAAAGUGGAUUCCACGACAUGCGAGUGUGGAGAAGACCAAACCACAGACCACUGAGUACAAUGCAGCCUAAGCCCUGUUACAUGCACAGUGGAGGACCUUUUCACAGUGACACCCGAGGCACUCCAAAUGGCCAGCUUCUGGUCAAAGCAAAUCUAGUAAAUUGUCAAGUUUUUAACUCUGUUUUUUUUUAAAGAAAUACAUUAUAACCAUACCCUCAAUUCGCUUCUGACACGAUAAAUAAAUAAGCUGAAGCAUAUUCUGCAGAGCCCGCUGUAAACACAAUCUUGUUAACUGAUUUGUGUAAAUGGGUGACAUCAAGAAACCCUUUACUGUUGUUCAUUUUUGUGACCUCCAACACUGAGCUUUUGGUGUUGGGAACCACAGUUUAUUGGAUGCAGGUAGACGAAAUCAUGGUUAUCAGUCCUGUGGAUAAAGGAGUCAUAUUGUAAUUCAAAUUUAUGCAAAUCAUUUGUGGUUGAUUUUUGUUUUUCAGUGUAACAUUGCCGUUUGUUCCAGGUUUUUACUUUUUUCUGCUAGCUGCAUUGUCUGCACAUAGGCACCUGAUUUUGUCUCACCCAGCUGCAUGAACACUCACCACAUCCGCUCUUUCCCACUCACCUCCCACCCUCCAUUUGAACAGCAUGGGAAGAAAGAGAGCUCACUUUCUGUUCUGUAUCAUAGAAACACAGCAUGCUACCUCUGCUCUGCUGUUACAAAGCAGUGACAAAGAGGACAGGGUUCUAUUGAGACAACCUGUUUUCAGGUGCUCCUGGCUUCCUGUGGCAAUGUGUCUCAAUGCAGCAGGCUUCCCUCAUGCAUUGCCUAAAGGCAUGCAACACAUGGGAAGAUCUAAUACAGAACAUGCAUCCUAGAGGUUGGACCCCCCUCCCCCAAUUUACAAUGGUAUUUUACAAUCCAAAACUCUUUCCUAUUUUACUGGGCAAGGUGACAUUGUUUCCCUAGCCAAUGAUAACAUUAUGCAACCAGAUUUUUGUUCCUGGGUUAUAGAUAUCAUUUCCUAAUUGGUUCUAUCAUAAAAACAUUGAAAAAGUUUAUUAAACUUUGUUUUUCCAAGACAUCCUGCAACACGUUUUGCUAUAAUUUCUCAAUGACUAUCUAAUUGAAUCUCAGCCACUUCAACAUAGUUUGUGGCAGCCACAAAAACAAAGUUUCUCAAGGAUAACAAAAACUUUCAAAGUAAGUACUGUACAAUUAAACAGGAAAUCAUAUUUUUGAACCAGGAACAGAAAUAUUUUUCAAAUUUUGUUACAUAGUUUAAUUCAGUGCCUUCUUUCCAAAAUUUAAGCUACAAUCCAUUUCUCGUGUGGAGUCCCUUGGGGAUAAUUUCCAUGUCCCACAAGUAUAUAGAGCUUAAUUAUGAAACUCCGUCAGGCUUCCAUUUCCCUUCUGUUAUUAGGCUCUCAUUUGAAUGGAGCAAAGGACUGUGCAUACCACUCACUAGCAUUUAACCCUCCGAGAACAUGUCGUAACCUCUUAUUUGCGGCCAUCCUGGGUAAUUGUACCAUUGCUCUGUGGAAAUUCCACUUUUUCUUCUAAGUAAAAAGGUUGUAAUUACAUUAUGAGGCGUCCUGUGAACAGGUAAUGGGAUAGCAUGCAGUGUGUGAAUAGCACAAUGUAAAAACCCUGGCCCCUGACCAAAGGAGUGAUUGGAUAUUUACGGAUACAAAUCGGCUAUAUACUUAUUUAAUGAACAGAAAGCAGCUGCUGUUUUCCUGCAGCCCAGAAGCAAACAUUAGCACAAUAAAUGGCACAUCAUUUAUGUUCUGCUCAGUUUUACAUCUCCUCUGAGUAAUUUGAAAUGCAGCCAGCCACUGCCUCCUUUCUGUUAAAACACAUUGUAUUGCAAUUGUUGAAUAACAGCAAGAGGUCAAAUUUGCUAAAAGAAAAUGUUGAAGAAAAAGAAAACACAUAG